rnacentral:rRNA from 1 species
GAUGAACGCUAGCGGCAGGCCUAACACAUGCAAGUCGAGGGGUAGUUACUUUCGGGUAAUGAGACCGGCGCACGGGUGCGUAAACGCGUAUGCAAUCUACCUUUUACAGGGGAAUAGCCCAGAGAAAUUUGGAUUAAUGCCCCAUAGUAUGUAUGAAUCGCAUGGUUUGUAUAUUAAAGUUCCAAACGGGUAAAAAGAUGAGCAUGCGUCCCAUUAGUUAGUUGGUAAGGUAACGGCCUUACCAAGACGAUGAUGGGUAGGGGUCCCUGAGAGGGAGAUCCCCCACACUGGUACUGAGACACGGACCAGACUCCUACGGGAGGC